ACAAAACACUCACCUUUCCCAAGUCCUGAUUUUUUGCCUGUACCAUGAAGAUGAUAAUUUCUUUUCUGACAAAAACAGCAUUUCAUGAAGAGUCAAAGAACUAAUAUGCAUCAAUGUGUUUUAUAAGCUGUAACACAUUAGGAAGUGGUGUUGUCUUGCCUCUUGGACCACAGAAAUUUUGAAAGCUAUUAUUUGGAAAAGAAGAGCCUUUGAGACGCGUGCAUACUGACAUCAGAAGUCACAGGGAAGCACAAAGAGAGCCAGAUGACAGAUGCACACACGGGAGAGAAAUCUGAGCUUACGGAACCCCCAAAUCUUGCAAAGAUCAGUCUGUAAAGGCAAAACUUCCAUUAGAUUUUCCCCAGCCCUGGGACUAGAAUCCAUACUCAAAGAGUUUGAAUAAAUCUGGUUACUAUAUCUGUACCAAAAGGAAAAAAGAAAGGAGGAGGAAAGAGGAAAAAUAGAGAAAGAAAAGUCAGUGAGGAAGUUGUAACUCCAAUGGAAAACACUACCAUCAAGAUUCAAAGGGAUUGUAGUGGACAGAGUUCCUUCCCUAAUGCAAUGACCAAAAAUAUCCUCCCUGAAGAGUCUUAAUUGUCAGUGAACCUGACUUUUUGGUUGCUCUACUUUCAUAUGAAUUUUUGCUACUGGAUUUGGAAGUGCUAUGAGAAACUCUUAGAGAGAAAUCCUAGGUUCCAGAUAUAGCCUGCCUUGCUCCCAUCAUGGGGCAACAAGCAAUUUCUUUUGGUAACCAGAUCAAUCACAACAAACAUCAAGUUAACAACUCCUUUGUCUGUUGGUUCAAUGACAUAAGGACCCCAAAAAACUAGGUGUCAAUGUUACUGUGGAAUUCAAUAAAAUCAUUGUUUCAUCUUG